GAGGAUGAUCAAGAAUAGAGAGUCAGCUGCACGAUCUCGGGCUAGGAAGCAGGCAUAUACUGUGGAGUUGGAGCUAGAGUUGAAUCAACUUAAAGAAGAGAAUGCUAAGCUAAAGCAAAUGGUGGAGGAAAUAGAGCAGAACCGAAAGGAAGAGGUUAUGAAAAGGAAACCAUCAAUACUGCCAUUCAAGAAAGGUGAUAAACUGAAGAGCUUAAGGAGGACAGUGAGCUUGACUUGGUGAAUGAGAAGAAGAAAGGAUAACGAAACUGCAUGAUAAAAGGCAGUUUGGC
rnacentral:misc_RNA from 1 species